rnacentral:tRNA from 1 species
CGUAGCCUAGUGGUCAAGACACCAGGCUGAUAACCUGGGGGUCGCAGGUUCG